ACUUCCAUGGGGAGAUGGUUUUGCUGGAAAAUUACAGUGCCCUUAACUAUACUGGUAAAUACAUUUCUCUUUUCAAGUCUCUCUGAAAUUUAAUUAUUUCUUUGAAUUGCAUAAGAGUUGAUGCUUGUGUGUUUGCUAUUAUAUUGUAUCUACACUCAUUCAAGUCUCUCAGAAAUUUAAUUAUUCCUUAGAAUUGCAUAAGAGUUGAUGCUUGUGUGUUUGCUAUUAUAUUUGUAUCUACACUCAUUAUCAGGACAAGAGGGGCUUGCUCUGAUGGUAAGCAACCCCCACUUCCAACCGAGAGGUUGUGAGUUNN
rnacentral:lncRNA from 1 species